AUUGAACGCUGGCGGCAUGCUUUACACAUGCAAGUCGAACGGUAACAGGGAGCUUGCUCCGCUGACGAGUGGCGAACGGGUGAGUAAUGCGUCGGAACGUGCCGAGUAGUGGGGGAUAACGCAUCGAAAGGUGUGCUAAUACCGCAUACGUACUGAGGUAGAAAGUGGGGGACCUUCGGGCCUCACGCUAUUCGAGCGGCCGACGUCGGAUUAGCUAGUUGGUGAGGUAAAGGCUCACCAAGGCGACGAUCAGUAGCGGGUCUGAGAGGAUGAUCGGGCACACUGGGACUGAGACACGGCCCAGACUCCUACGGGAGGCAGCAGUGGGGAAUUUUGGACAAUGGGCGAAAGCCUGAUCCAGCCAUGCCGCGUGUCUGAAGAAGGCCUUCGGGUUGUAAAGGACUUUUGUCCGGGAGCAAAUGCCUGGUGUUAAUAGCAUCGGGAGCUGAGAGUACCGGAAGAAUAAGCACCGGCUAACUACGUGCCAGCAGCCGCGGUAACAC
rnacentral:rRNA from 1 species